UUUACUUUAAUGAAGUGUCCAUCAGCGGGAUGUGGGCAGGGCCCCAGGGCUCCCUGUCUCCUCGCCAGGGCUCUGGGCAUAGGCACGGGCAGAGAUUUGGACAGAACAGCCAAAUCGAGUGACAUGAUGAUUCAGGGAAAUUCCUGCAGGGCAUGCCCCAAAAAGGAUGCACUUCAAAAGAUAUGCCAUCUCCCUGGACUUGCAAAACCCUGUGCCUCUGACUUUCUCCUUCCCAGGAGUGGAGCCUAGGUCACGUCCCCUUGAAAGUGGGCAGGCCUUUGUGGCGGACUUGACAGUCCGGGUGCAGCGGAAGUCACACCGCGUGGCCUGCGCACAGCUACAGGCCUCCCCCUCAAUUGGACUUGAACCUCUGGAGCCCUGAGCCACCACAUAGCGGAGUCGCACUGCUCAGAAGCCGCCACGCCGAGGAGACCAUGUGAAGAUACCACCUAGAGUGAGAGGAAGGUGCCGAGGGGCCCGGCUCGCUCUCUUCCCAACUCAGGCGCCGGACAAGGGAGCAGAGGUGCUUCAGAGAUGACUGCGGGCCCUGCCGCCACAUGACUGCAACCACUUUAUUGACCCAGACUAAGACUCCCCCAGGUAAGCCCAGCCAGGUCCCAGAACUACUGUUCCAAGCCAGUGCCUUGGGGUGGUUUGUUACCCGGCGACAGAUAACCAGGCAGCAGACAGCAUGAAACUUCUUUCCAGCCGAGGUCAGUCUUUCAGCAGACAGUUCCUAAGCACCUACUGGGAUGGGCGAAAUCACCUGCUGCUCUAACUGGGCCUCAUAGGAUGUACUUGUCUGCUCUCCAGCCUGACCAGAGACACCGUGUUUUGGACACAGGCUCAUUUUGGCUGAUGCGCCCCUAAAGCAGGGCGACCAGAGCUCGACCCCAGACCCAGCACUUUGUUGACGACCAGCCCAGACAGUUUGGGUUCCUAAGCUACACUCGCACAGCGGGGGCUCCACUUCCAUCCCAGCUCUGAUGCUCGCUGGCUGUGUGACUCCAGGCAAGUCACUGGACCACUCUGGAUCCCAUCUAGGAAGUGAGGCUGUUAGCGCUCACAUAGAAAGGGCAGUGUGACUAUUAAACAUGAGAUACUGUCUGUACAGUUCCUGGCAAGAUGCCUCACCAUAGUAAACGCUUACUCAGUGGUAGACCCGGUCACUGUUUUCAUCCUCUCUUCUGGAAAAUAAUGGUUUCAGUGUACCCUAAAAUCAGGUUAGCAGAUCAGACUGA